rnacentral:lncRNA from 1 species
CAACACAACUACACCACAAAACCACAAUCCAGACCCACAAAACUCACAACAACACAUAGUGACUAUAACACAACUAAACGCCCCAGAAAUACAAAAUUUGACAACGCAAAAGCCUUGCCUCCCAGUUGUAACAACACAACCACACCACAAAACCACCAUCCGGACCCACAAAACUCACAGCAACGCAUUGUGACUAUAACAAAUACAAAAUUUGACAACACAACUCAUCCACCUCCCCAAUCCCUACAUUCACACUUGGCCUCCAAAAAAACAAUUACAAUAAUAACAAUGACAACAACAACAACAAUAAGAAUCAACACCAUCACAGGCAAGAAACAGCCAGGCACUGAGGCUGAGAGGCCAGUCAGUGCUACACUGGGCCUCCAAAAAACAAUACAGUAGCAUCUAACUUAUCCAACCUUCAUGACCACAACAACAACAACAAUAAUAAACACCUACACAGGCAAAACAAAAAAAAGACUAUUGUACCACAAUAAAAAUAUAAACCGCACUCAGGAGAAUCAGACAUUACAACUAACAACAAACCAAAGACAACUGGGAUCUCAAGCAAUUAUCAAUCAACACAAAAAUUGAAGAAGGUAACAGACUUCAAAUACUACUACUAAUGUGAGUAUAAAGAAGGUGGAGGUCACAGCAUCAAUACAACCUAAUGUAGACUGAACAACACCACCAGACUCAGCCACAGCAACGCGUGGCCGGGCACAGCUAGUAUCCUAUAAUUUACGUUUUAUCCAGUUGUGUGGAUAAACAUUUAUCCAUCUUGAGAUCAAACUGAUGCUCCUCUUAAUAUUUUGAGCCAGUGAUCAAAAGUUAUAAUCCAUAUUUUUUUUUCUGGAAACUGAUUUGUCCAUCAAAGACAGUUUUUAAAGUAUGAGUAACUGUUAACACUAUAAAUUUUGUUUUAGCAUUGAGCAACAUUACUGAUGUAUUGGUUUGAGUGUUAUGACUCCGGAUUCCAGGGUUUGAAUCCCUGCUCAGUGAUGGAAACCCACUAGAUGUCCUCAGGAAAGUCA